UGCCUGGGCUGCUUUUUUCCCUUCCCUCCUCCUCGGAGGAGUGCAAACAAUGUUCUUUUGAUGCUUUCCUGCGAGUGGGAAUCUCGCCCUGGAGAAGGAGACAAAACUUUGCUACCUGUGAAACGAAGACUGCGUAGGCAGCAGUGGAAAUGAAAGCAGUUCUAUUUGCCACGCAGGCUCCACAAAUGAGUAACUUCAGUGGGAAUUGCUCAUGAAAAAGAGAAAGGAUCACCUGGAUUCUUCUGGAGCUGGGAGUCAGGGCCAGAAAUCUCCAGGAAAGACCUGCCCAAGCAACAAGAAGAGGAUUUCACCUCUCCAGAGCUCCAUCCCACCUGGAGCUCCAGGGUCUGCCAGUGCUGGUGAAGUCUUUUUUGUGAAGCACACAGAAAAUCUGCCAUCCCAAAUCCGUCUCCUUCCCACUGGCCAACAGCCUGAGGAGGAGCUGUUCACAGGUGCUCCAUCCCAGCUCUGAUUUCUGCUGGAUAUUUCCAUAUUCCUGAUCUCCUUUUGGCAGCUGGCUGGGAAGGGAAUGCCAUGGCCAAGGAGGGAUUGCCAGGGAGGAUUACCAAGGCUCAAGCUGAAUUCCAAGGGAACAGGAGUGGUGUGUGCCACCUCUGCACCAGAGCCGUGUCUGGGGGAAACCAAGAACUGAGCAGAUCCUUUUUUAUUUCCACUCCUUUUCAGGGUGGUUUCUCCCAAACCAAGACAAGCCGUCAGAAUACGUUCCCGAGGAGUUGGGCCUAGCAAUAUGGCAGCGCACGUUCCAUAGGAAAUCCUGCAGAAUGCUGCUGCUGCUGAGCUCUGUUCCCAAGGAGGGCACAAUCCCUGCCCCGCUCCAGCCUCCAGCACUGCAGGCACUGAGUUUUCUCCACCCCAAAAUUCCAAGCCUGGAUUUUCAAAGAUGCUGCAGCACGAGUUUUGGCUGCUGAAAACUUUGGGAAAAGCUGGAUGCUUUUAAGCCCUCGAGCAGCGUGGUGUUAACAUUCCCAAAAAGCACCAUGGGAAUCUCAGUGCUCUUGCCUUCGUGGUCAGCAAGCAGAAGUCUCCAAAGAUUUGCUCCACACUCUGCAAACUUCAGGAGGUUCAAAAACGAUGACUAUUUAUAAUAACCCUGUCAAACACAACUUGAUGUUAACGCUGUGAGCUGUAAAUGAAAAGACCCAUCCCGCUCCAAAACCCGAGGAAUCAUAAUUAAAAAGGAGAAUGAAAUCCCACCACAUGGAGGAGCAAAUGUAGUGCUGAUACAUCUUCCUGAGGGAAAAUGGCAAGGGGAAAAACAGUGUCAUCUUGCCACGAUAAAAUAAAGGGGAUCCGAUGAGGGUGACAAAAGCCAUGUGGACACUACAGCUUCUCCCAGGGACUCACAGCCCGCCAGGGAUGUGGUAAGUGUUGUCCUGAUGGUUCUGUGUUUUUACAGAAUAUUGAUUGUGUCGGUGAUUUGGUGUGGAAUUGGCCUGCAAAAGAGUGAGGCUCAAAUUAGAAGCUUUUGAUUGGCAAGGUCACCACUCUGGAAAUAUCCAAGUCAUGGCAACUUCGCCCAGUUUUGCUUUCCACUCUGAAUUUUACCUUUCCUCCCAUCAUUUGAAUUCUUAAUUUCUGUUACUGAAUGUUUUUUACUCCCCUGAAGAUGUUUAAUUAAUUUGGAAGCCAUUCUCAUGUAUGCUGUCCUUACAGCUGAGCUGUAAGCAUUAUUUUGAAAAUAUUUCCUAAAUGAUCUCUGUCCAGUUUGCCCAGAGUGAAGUUAUUGACUGCUCUCAAAAAGGCCUCAAGGUUUUAUAUUUAAUGCUGAAGUCCCUAAAGCUUCCUCCCUGGCUGAACAUCCCUUCUCCUGUGUGUCUUCCCCUUUGAAUUGCUAAUUCCAAUUGAUCUGAGGAGAAAAAAAUUGUAAUAGUUUGUAUUUACUCUACUUUCUGCUACAACAGCACCUACCAAGGUCUCUCCUUCCUUUGAUCCUGUCUCCAUGAUUAAAUGCAUUCUUCCUUUCUGUUUUCCAGCUUCUCUCUGCAAACUUUCUUUCGCUCCAUUUCUGCAAGAAUUUCCUGCAAGCCCUGUCCCUGAGAGGAUUAGUGGAGGGGAUACCAAUUUUAUUUAUAUUUAUUUACAAAUGGACUGCAGAGACUUGGCCCCUUUUUAAAUAUGAGAACAAUU